rnacentral:rRNA from 1 species
CGCAGAUACCAGGUGGCUGCAACUGUUUAUUAAAAACACAGCACUGUGCAAAAUCGUAAGAUGACGUAUACGGUGUGACGCCUGCCCGGUGCCGGAAGGUUAAUUGAUGGGGUUAGACUUCGGUCGAAGCUCUUGAUCGAAGCCCCGGUAAACGGCGGCCGUAACUAUAACGGUCCUAAGGUAGCGAAAUUCCUUGUCGGGUAAGUUCCGACCUGCACGAAUGGCGUAAUGAUGGCCACGCUGUCUCCACCCGAGACUCAGUGAAAUUGAAAUCGCUGUGAAGAUGCAGUGUACCCGCGGCUAGACGGAAAGACCCCGUGAACCUUUACUACAGCUUGGCACUGAACAUUGACCCUACAUGUGUAGGAUAGGUGGGAGGCUUUGAAGCACGGUCGCUAGAUUGUGUGGAGCCGUCCUUGAAAUACCACCCUUGUAGUGUUGAUGUUCUAACGUUGACCCCUAAUCGGGGUUGCGGACAGUGCCUGGUGGGUAGUUUGACUGGGGCGGUCUCCUCCCAAAGCGUAACGGAGGAGCACGAAGGUGGGCUAAUCACGGUUGGACAUCGUGAGGUUAGUGCAAUGGCAUAAGCCCGCUUGACUGCGAGAAUGACGGUUCGAGCAGGUGCGAAAGCAGGUCAUAGUGAUCCGGUGGUUCUGAAUGGAAGGGCCAUCGCUCAACGGAUAAAAGGUACUCCGGGGAUAACAGGCUGAUACCGCCCAAGAGUUCAUAUCGACGGCGGUGUUUGGCACCUCGAUGUCGGCUCAUCACAUCCUGGGGCUGAAGUCGGUCCCAAGGGUAUGGCUGUUCGCCAUUUAAAGUGGUACGCGAGCUGGGUUUAGAACGUCGUGAGACAGUUCGGUCCCUAUCUGCCGUGGGCGUUGGAAGAUUGAAGGGGGCUGCUCCUAGUACGAGAGGACCGGAGUGGACGAACCUCUGGUGUUCGGGUUGUGUCGCCAGACGCAUUGCCCGGUAGCUAAGUUCGGAAUCGAUAACCGCUGAAAGCAUCUAAGCGGGAAGCGAGCCCUGAGAUGAGUCUUCCCUGAUACUUUAAGUAUCCUAAAGGGUUGUUCGAGACUAGAACGUUGAUAGGCAGGGUGUGUAAGCGUUGUGAGGCGUUGAGCUAACCUGUACUAAUUGCCCGUGAGGCUUAACCAU